UACGUGAAACCGUUGAAAGGGAAGCGAAUGGAGUUAGCAAUUCGCCCUGCCAGAUUCUUUUGCUCUCACGCCGCCACUCAGGUCCUCUGGAUCCRCAUGGACGAGACGUGUGCGGGUGCGACGUGCGGUCUGCGCACUUCUGGCGAGCGAGCGUCAGCGUCGGUUGUCGACGRGCG
rnacentral:rRNA from 1 species